rnacentral:tRNA from 1 species
UCCCUCUUAGCUCAGUGGUCGAGCGUGUCACUCGUAAUGACAAGGUCAGUCGUUCAAUCCGGCUAGCGGGAA